UUGCUGACGUUCAAUGUUAUUCACAAGGUUAGGGUGGGAUUCAAUAGUUUGAAGUUAGAGUUAAUUAUUGGAUGUGUAUUGGAGGAAUUCCAUAGACUCUGUUGAAGAAUGGACCCUUUGUACGAUAGGGGUUCAAAGGUCUCAUAUGGGGGUCGGUGGCAUCACUUAGAUGCCUCUCUUGACUCCCACACUACUUGGCUUAUUGUUAGAUUUAGGAGAUAUUAUAGGAGAUAUUGUUCUGAUUUUCUUUUUUUUUCCUAUUUUCCCUUGUUUCCUAAUUAGGAUAGUUUCCUAUUUUCUAGUUUCCAUUUUGGUCUUGUACUUGGUAAUUAUAAAUAAGAAAGCAAGGGGCUUAUUGUUAGAGUUAGGAGAUAUUAUUUUGAUUUGCUUUUGUUUCCUAUUUUCCCUUGUUUCCUAAUUAGGAUAGUUUCCUAUUUUCUAGUUUCCAUUUUGGUCUUGUACUUAGUAAUUAUAAAUAAGAAAGCAAGGGAGACUGCUGUUCAUGAUUCUGUGAACUAGCAGUCUCGGUUCUUCUCUCUUCUCUUGUGGUGGUUGCUGGGUGUUAGGGUUGCAUAUGUAAAUACAUAUAGUAAUUACCAAUUCUUGAAAAACUUCAAUUGGAUAUUGUGAAGUUUUAGGCGUAAGGGGUAUUUUGGUCCUAUCGGUUUCUAUUGUGUAUUAGGGCUGACUAGCGCAGGUUACAGGGGUAAUUUUGUAACUGUCUUAUUUCUGGAAUCAUAUAUAUAUAUAUAUAUAUAUAUAUCAGAGAUCUAACCUGCGGUAGGAUUUUCUGGUCUGAUCGCAGAUUAGUUCCCCUCUUUUGGGAGUGAUCUAUGAUCUCGCCUCUCGCCUCUCACCUCUCACCUCUCUUCUCUGUUCAGUCUUCUUUCUUUCUUCUUCUCUUUUCUCUCUGCUGACUUUCUUCUUCCGCUAAACCUCUCUGGUGUGUGCUGCCUUUUGCUGCGUUUACUAUGGCUUAAAUCAUAUAGAGUGAUUGUACUUGGAUCGUGAUAUGGUACUACUGCCCUAAUUGAUUUUUUUUUAUAAGGGUUUUGGUUUAAUCGAUUUUUAGCAGGUUUUUUUAUACCCAUCGAUUUUUGACCCAUGGCUCUGGUAAUUGUUUCGGUGAUGACUAUGGUGGGAUCAGGUAUGGAUGAUAUUGCUCUGUAAUAGAAUCCCCCUAUCUAUGGUACUGUAUAGAUUUACAUACAUGUGAUAGUUUGUUUGUCUCUACAUCUGGUUAUUAGAUCUAUAAUCCUUUCUUUUCUAAUUUUUUGGUUCAUCAUGGCUGAGCCCAAAACUAGUGGGGCUAUUACAUCUUCUUCAGACAAUGUGAAUGUCUAGAUUGCCUCUAUCAAGCUCAAAGGGAGUUCGAACUACCUCCUUUGGGCUCAAUCUGUGAAGGUUUAUCUCAAGGCUAAAGACAAACUUCAAUAUACUACCUCUGAUCCUCCUCAGUCAUCUGAUAAGGGAUAUAAUGACUGGAUGAAGGACAAUGCAUUAACUUUGAUAUGGUUGUGGAAUAGUAUAGAACUAGAUGUUGCUGCCAAUGUCAUGUUCCACACUACUGCAAAAGGGGUGUGGGAUGAUUUGGAGGAAACCUACUCCCAGGAGAAGAAUAUGACUUGUAUCUAUGAUAUCUAUAAGAAGCUGUUCCAAAUUUGCCAAUCUGACAAGUCUCUAUCAGAAUACUACGGUGCUUUUAAGGGAAUGGUUGAAGAACUUAAUGCCUUUCAACCCUUGACUACAGAUAUUGAAAAGCUCAAAGCUCAGCGUAAUGAAUUCUUUGUUUCCAAGUUCUUGGUUGGCUUGAAUAAUAACCUGAAGGCAGUGAAGGGUCACUUACUUGCUGGCGACACCAUCCCUACUGAACGAUACCUACUCAUGCCUUCAACGCAUCACAUCUUUUACCAAACCUGAUCAGUCCACCAAAGACAAUUUAGUCUUUCUUGCUAACCAUGGACGUGGUUGAGGUCGGUGCGGAGGUCGUUCAUCUGGUGGACGGGGUUCUAGUGGACAACACUUUGAUUGUGGAUAGCAAUUUGAUCGUUCUUCUUGCUAGUGCUCUUACUGUGGGAAGCCCAACCAUACUGUAGAGACUUAUUGGGCAAAGCAUGGCAAGCCAGAGUGGGCAACCCAAUUAGCCAAUCAUGCAGUGUCAAAUGAUGGUACUGACCUGGUGUCUCCCAAUGACACUAAACCAGGGACUUCUUAAGAAGACUCUUCUACUUGCCUACGUGAUGAUAUUAAUCAAUUACUAAGACAGUUGUAGACUCUUGAGACAUCCUCUAAUGCAUCUAAUUGUGUGUCUAUAUCCACUGCUACCUUGACACAAACAGGAUCUUCACUCGAGGAAGACGAUUGGUAGAGGGCGUGAAAAAGAUGGUUUAUAUUAUCUCUACUAUGAUACUCCUGCUAAUUCCACUGCUGCUACAGCCGUUGGGGAUGUGACUCAUUUCCAAUGGCACUGUCGUUUAGGCCAUUGGUCAUUGUCUAGGCUGUAAAUUUUAUUUUCUAGUUUUAAAUCUAUACCAAAAUUAGAGUGUGAAGCGUGUGAGUUAGGAAAGCAUCACCGUGUGUCUUUCCCAUCUCGCUCUGUGCUUCAAAGUCCGUCUUUAUUUUCCUUCGUUCAUUCAGAUGUUUGGGGUCCUUGUCGAGUCAGCAAUAGGUUUCGGUUUCGAUAUUUUAUGACUUUUGUUGAUGACCACUCUCGUCUUACAUGGCUAUACUUAUUAAAGGAUCGAUCUGAAUUUUUAAUUGUGUUUUAGACUUUCUAUAGUGAAAUGAAAACUCAAUUUGGCAUUUUAA